CUUACACAUGCAGUCGAGCGAGGCGAGGGGGGCACUCCCUCAUCGAGCGGCGGACGGGUGAGUACACGUGGGUCACCUGACCCGGAAGUGGGGAAUACCUCGGGGAAACUCGAGCUAAUACCGAUGACAUCGUCGGAACGCCCGUUCUGACGAUCAAAGCGGGGUCGCAAGGCCUCGCGCUACCGGAUGGGCCCGGCCCGAUUAGCUAGUUGGCGAGGUAACGGUCACCAAGGUUCGAUCGGUAACCGGCCUGAAGGGCGAUCGGUCACACCGGAACUGAGACACGGUCCCGGACUCCUACGGGAGGCAGCAGUGGGGAAUCUUGCGCAAUGGGCGAAAGCCUGACGCAGCAACGCCGCGUGGAGGAUGAAGGCCCUUGGGUUGUAAACUCCUGUCGGUUGGGAAGAAAUCGUUCGGGGUUAAUACCCCGGACGUCUGACUGUACCAGCAAAGGAAGCCCCGCGCUAACUCUGUGCCAGCAGCCGCGGUAAUACAGAGGGGGCCAGCGUCAUCCGGAAUCUAUUGGGCCGUACAGGGCGCGUA
rnacentral:rRNA from 1 species